CCAGGUGUCUGUUGACUCUGAUCUUGUGACUGAAGGUCAGACCGUCACACUGACCUGUAAGACCAGCUGCCCUUAGAAAGAAACCAUCAUCUGGUUCAAGAACGAGGUUGCUUUAAAUGUCCAUUAUUCUGGCGAUCAGCUGCAUGUUUCUGCGGUGAGCCGUGAGGAUUCAGGACGAUACUCGUGUGCGCUGCAAUACUUCGAAACAUUCCCAUCGGCCGAGACAUUCCUCAAUGUGACUGAUGUGGCGUAUGAGAGCGCUGGAAUCGUAACGCUGUCGUCAGUCCUGAUUCCUGUCGUUCUGCUGGUCGUUUGUGCAGCUCUGUGGAUGAUAAAGAAAAAUCAACCAAACCUCAAAAGACCUCAAGAAAAAGAGAAAAACAUAGAGAAUGACACCAUGUACGAAAAUGACCAGACACUGGUGGAUUGGCAAGAUGGGUCUGAGUACACUUGUGUUUAUUUCAGGCUACACAGUAAACUGCAUUGUAAAACUUUUGCAGAGGAUACUGAAUGUCACAUGACAUUGCUGCUGCCCCCUAGUGAACAGUAUGUUUGUACCUAGUGCAUAGACACAAGUUGUAUUUAUAGGCUACAUGUUAUGUAUUUAAUUAUCUGUUUUUUUGGAAUGCUAUACUUUUUUUACGUAUAUUUUUCUUCAUGUCUCAAUAGUAGCUGUAAUAAACUGAAUUCAGGUAAAAUGAGGUGCUGUUGACUGUCAAGAAA